rnacentral:rRNA from 1 species
UACAGAGGGUGCGAGCGUUGUCCGGAAUCACUGGGCGUAAAGGGCGCGUAGGUGGCGCGACAAGUCAGUGGUGAAAGCUCGACGCUCAACGUCGAGUCGGCCACUGAUACUGUUGGGCUUGAGCACUGUAGAGGCUAAUGGAAUUCCGGGUGUAGCGGUGGAAUGCGUAGAGAUCCGGAAGAACACCGGUGGCGAAGGCGGUUCUCUGGGCCUGUGCUGACGCUGAGGAGCGAAAGCGUGGGGAGCAAACAGG